rnacentral:lncRNA from 1 species
UGUAAGAGGUGACAUUUAAAGUUGUGUAUUCCCAGCUUUUGUAAUUACAGGUUCCCACAUCAGGAGGAUGCAUGGAAAAAGCACACAGAUAAGGCAUCGUUUGCCCAAACAUGUCAUCAGAAACUGACUUCCUAAAGCUCUUUUUCAGUAGGGGACUUUCAAGGCCUGGUCAGCCUGUCACUGGUACUACUGAAGACAGCAAGAAUCUCGCUGCAGAUUUCAGGGAGAGCAAGAGCAGACCCUGGGAGUGA